GACGAACGCUGGCGGCGUGCUUAACACAUGCAAGUCGAGCGGUAAGGCCCUUUCGGGGUACGACGAGCGGCGAACGGGUGAGUAACACGUGGGUGACCUGCCCUCAGCUCUGGGAUAAGACCUGGGAAACUGGGUCUAAUACCGGAUAUGACUCCAUGACGCAUGUUGUGGGGUGGAAAGCCUUGUGCGGCUGAGGAUGGGCCCGCGGCCUAUCAGCUUGUUGGUGGGGUGANGGCCUACCAAGGCGACGACGGGUAGCCGGCCUGAGAGGGCGACCGGCCACACUGGGACUGAGACACGGCCCAGACUCCUACGGGAGGCAGCAGUGGGGAAUCUUGCGCAAUGGGCGAAAGCCUGACGCAGCGACGCCGCGUGAGGGAUGACGGCCUGG
rnacentral:rRNA from 1 species